rnacentral:rRNA from 1 species
CUUACGGGAGGCAGCAGUGGGGAAUAUUGCACAAUGGGGGAAACCCUGAUGCAGCGACGCCGCGUGAGUGAAGAAGUGCUUCGGCAUGUAAAGCUCUAUCAGCAGGGGAAGAAGAUGACGGUACCUGACUAGGAAGCCCCGGCUAACUACGUGCCAGCAGCCGCGGUAAUAAAUACGUGCCAGCAGCCGCGG